CCUACGGGAGGCAGCAGUGAGGAAUAUUGGUCAAUGGGCGCGAGCCUGAACCAGCCAAGUCGCGUGAGGGAAGACGGUCCUAUGGAUUGUAAACCUCUUUUGUCGGGGAGCAAAAGACGCCACGCGUGGCGUUCCGAGAGUACCCGAAGAAAAAGCAUCGGCUAACUCCGUGCCAGCAGCCGCGGUAAUACGGAGGGGGCAAGCGUUGUCCGGAUUUACUGGGUGUAAAGGGCGUGCAGCCGGAGAGACAAGUCAGAUGUGAAAUCCACGGGCUCAACCCGUGAACUGCAUUUGAAACUGUUUCCCUUGAGUGUCGGAGAGGUAAUCGGAAUUCCUUGUGUAGCGGUGAAAUGCGUAGAUAUAAGGAAGAACACCAGUGGCGAAGGCGGAUUACUGGACGAUAACUGACGGUGAGGCGCGAAAGCGUGGGGAGCAAACAGGAUUAGAUACCCCAGUAGUC
rnacentral:rRNA from 1 species